rfam:Ovis aries breed Texel chromosome 14, whole genome shotgun sequence.
UCCCUGGCAGUCAUGUGGUUAGGACUCGGCACUUCCACUGCUGUGGACACAGGUUCAACUCCUGGUCAAGGAA